AUUGAACGCUGGCGGCAGGCCUAACACAUGCAAGUCGAGCGAGCGGCGGACGGGUGUGGAAUGUCUGGGAAACUGCCUGAUGGAGGGGGAUAACUACUGGAAACGGUAGCUAAUACCGCAUCCCAUCAGAGGUGCCCAGAUGGGAUUAGCUAGUAGGUGGGGUAAUGGCUCACCUGGGCGACGAUCCCUAGCUGGUCUGAGAGGAUGACCAGCCACACGGGAACUUAGACACGGUCCAUACUCCUACGGUAGGCAGCAGUGGGGAAGAUUGCACAAUGGGCGCAAGCCUGAUGCAGCCAUGCCGCGUGUGUUAAGAAGGCCUUCGGGUUGUAAAGCACUUUCAGCGAGGAGGCGUUACUCGCAGAAGAAGCACCGGCUAACUCCGUGCCAGCAGCCGCGGUAAUUC
rnacentral:rRNA from 1 species